UUAGGUUUGCUGUAUCAAUUGAAUUUAGGGUAUUUUGACUGGUUGAUAUGAAGUUUCGAGGAAUGUUUUUUACUUUGAAAUUUUUUGCCAACACAUUUCCAUAAUGAUUUAUUUAAUUAGUUCCGAUUUCGAUGUUGAAUUGCAAUUUUUUUUUUUUUCAUGUAGAUUGUGUUGUAUUAUGUCAGAUAAUCCUCAUUGGCCAUUGCUGCGUGAGAUCAACAAAAUUUCGAUAAUCGCAAUUUGCGCUUGAAAGUCUGUCAUCUCCAGAUAUCAUAGCUUUAAUUAGCUUCGAUUUUGUUGCUGAAUUCCAAUUUCUAUGAACAUGGACUCUGCUGUUCUUGUGUGUGAAACACCUUGUUUCUUGGUAUGUGCGAAAAUACUAAUAUGGGUCAUUUGCGCUUGGUUUCCUACCCUUUUCAUAUGUGGUGUGUUUUGGAAGCUUGGAUCCAGAUAUGAUUUUUGUUGGGGAAUGUCGUUACAAUUUGAUUUGGGCUAAUGGGUAAAGAUUGCUAUUUGGCGCCAAUAAAAAUAUGUACAUAACGCAUAUUCGCAGUUCUAUAGAAGGGCAUGAAGGAGAAGGACACGCCUGUCAUUAGGAAAUUGAGAAGGGGACAUUUUUGUCAUUAAACCAGUUCCCAGAGGCAUAACUCGGAAUCAAUUCGGAUGGACCCUAACAUCAUGAAAUUCCUUGAAGAAGACGAGGUUAGUUCCCCGCCAUAACGAUGUACUCAUACAGUCUUUACCAAUUUAUGCUCUCUAAAUUUGGGACCGUUGUAGAAUGGUAUUUUUCAUCUGCAUUUCCAUCUUCAUAUGACUGCUUCCUUGAGACAAGGCUGGUGGAAUAUUUAAAUUACAAGGAUGAGGCAAAUUAGUAAAUUUUGUUAGAAAAUUAUCAAUUAUGAAAAAGGUAAAAUAAAUAAAUAAACACAGUUUUUUGGACUAAAAAAACAGGCACUUCUUCAGUCAUAACUCUCAAUAAUCCUUCAUGCUUAGCUACAAAUUGAUAGUACUAGCUUGCAAAAACCUUUUAUAGGUGUAAUAUAGACCAAACUAGUUAAAACUUCACGAUAUAUAUGGAAAUGAGUAAAAUACUGGUCAUUCAGAAUAGUUUUAGUAUUGAACUCAUAAAAGAAGUUAUGAGGAAAGUGUAUAGGUUACAGAACACACUGUUCUGUUCAGAAAGGAUGAUGGACGAUGUAACAAGUACCAAACUAUAAUGACAAAAUAUGUCAUGAAAAUUUAUUUCAGUGAAGUUCUCCACAUAAUUUACUCAAACUAAAAGAAACAACAUCAUCAUAUAUUCAUUGUACCUUUAUCUCGAUUAUAGACCCUAAAACUAUUUUUUUCUUCAGUGCCAUGCGAAAAAAAACCCCCCCAAUUUUUCAAUUUCUUUAAAACUCAUCUACAUCAUAAAAUUGCAGUCUAUAGAGGAAAUUGCACCAAUUCAUCUCAGAAUAUUUCUUUCUUUUCUUGAAAAUACCAAACUCUGCCCCGAUUAUGCUUUGUCUUAGCAACCAAAGGAUGAACUUCAUUAAAUAUCUAAGCCAACAAGACAUGACAGAACCACAAUGAAAUUGGCAUCAAUUCACAAGUUCAACAAAACAACUAAAGUGAAGAAUUAUCGGCGUUGGAAUAAGAGGGAUUCUCUUGUAUCGAAUUAUUCAUGCCUCCAUGUCUGCGCCCGAAUGUAUAGUUUCAUCCUACCAAAUUAUAUCGCAGAAUCAAAAUGACAAAAACUCAAAUAUUAAUACAAAGAAGAUGAAAAUGAGGAUGAAAAAUACCAUUCUUAAACGGGUCCAAAUUCAGAGAACAUAAAUUGGUAAAGACUGUAUGAGUACAUCGUUAUGGUGGAGAAUUAACCUCGUCUUCUUCAAGGAAUUGCAUAAUGUUAGGGUCCAUCGGAAUUGAUUCCGAGUUAUGCUUCUCUGCAGCAAUUCUUUGUUUGAUUCGCAAUUUGGUGUUUCACCCGGAAGAAAUUUGGAGGGGGAAAAGGCUCGACCAAACAAAAACUAAACCCACAAAAAAGGAGGAAAAACGAGGAUCUUGAUUCUUAAAAAUUGAUUUUUCAAUCAAAACACUUCCGAUAUCGAAAUUCAGCAAUAGAGAAAAAGUUUAAUUAUGAUUUCGAAAAAAGACAUUUCUUUCUUCUUUUUUUGAUAAAUUGUCUCUAAAUUUACGAGCUCUUAUGCUUCAGUUGACACUGAAGAUGAAAGGGGAGUAAGCCCUUAUAUAUAACUUAAGAAAUAAAGCAUUUUAAAUUUUCACUCUCAAUGAAUUAUAAGUAUAGUUAUUGUUUUUUUAGGUUCAUUAGGAUUCUUGUUGGUUGGAACUUCCAAUUUUCUUGGUAGAAAUUUGAUAUCUCUGGAGGAUUCCAUCCUCAAACACAAAGUUUGUGGUUGAUGUCGGGAAUAGACCGAUUUUAUAUCAUCCUUCAAUGCUACGAGCUUCUGGAAUACAAUGGGGUAUUUUUCCGGGCUUUCAUAGUUUUGGUUUGUAUAUUCAUAAUGAUACGAUGAGUGCCUUAGGGCGUAAUACUUAUAAUUAAUUGAGAGUGAAAAUUUAAAAUGCUUUAUUUCUUAAGCUAUAUAUAAGGGCUUACUUCCCCUUUCAUCUUCAAUGCCAAUUGAAGCAUAAGAGCUCGUAAAUUCAGAGACAAUUUAUCAAAAGAAGAAGAAGAAAGAGAUGUCUUUUUCGAAAUCAUGCUUAAACUUUUUCUCCGUUGAGAAGUUCGGAUUUCGAAAUCGGAAGUGUUUUGAUUGAAAAAUCAAUUUUCAAGAAUCAACAUCCUCGUUUUUCUUCCUUUUUUUCUUGUGGGUUUAGUUUUUGUUUGGUCGAGCCUUUUCCCCCUCCAAAUUUCUUCCGGGUGAAGCACCAAAUUGCGAAUCAGACAAAGAAUUGCUGCAGAGAGGCAUAACUCGGAAUCAAUUCCGAUCCUAACAUCAUGAAAUUCCUUGAAGAAGACGAGGCGCAGAUGUGGAGGCCUUCACAGCAGAAUUGAACAGAGACAUUGAAGGGAAUAAUUCGAUACACGAGGAUCCCUCUUAUUCCAACGCCGCAGCCUUGUCUCAAAGAAGCAGUCAUAUGACUGGUCAGUUUCUUCCCCAGUGGCACACGUCCCAUAAUGAUGGGAUUGCUAAUUUUCAAAGUGGGCAAGAUAUUACGACCGUGGGGAAAAAGACCGUGUGUUCUGUUCAGAAAGGAUGAUGGACGAUGUAACAAGUACCAAACCAUAAUGACAAAAUAUGUCAUGAAAAUUUAUUUCAGUGAAGUUCUCCACAUAAUUUACUCAAACUAAAAGAAACAACAUCAUUAGACAUUCAUUGUACCUUUAUCUCGAUUAUAGACCUUAAAACUAUUUUUUUCUUCAGUGAAGAAUUAUCGGCGUUGGAAUCAGAGGGAUCCUCCUGUAUCGAAUUAUUCCCUUCAAUGUCUCUAUUCAAUUCUCGUGUGAAGGCCUCCACGUCUGCGCCCGAAUGCAUGAUUUCGAAAUCCGGACUUCUCAACAGAGAAAAAGUUUAAGCAUGAUUUCGAAAAAAGACAUCUCUUUCUUCUUCUUUUUUUGAUAAAUUGUUUCUGAAUUUACGAGCUCUUAUACUUCAGUUGGCAUUGAAGAUGAAAGGGGAAGUAAGCCCUUAUAUAUCACUUAAGAAAUAAAACAUUUUAAAUUUUCACUAUCAA